rnacentral:rRNA from 1 species
CACGUAGGGAGCAAGCGUUGUCCGGAAUUAUUGGGCGUAAAGAGCUCGUAGGUGGUUUGUUACGUCUGCUGUGAAAACCUAGGGCUUAACCCUGGGCUUGCAGUGGAUACGGGCAGACUAGAGGUAGGUAGGGGAGAAUGGAAUUCCUGGUGUAGCGGUGAAAUGCGCAGAUAUCAGGAGGAACACCGGUGGCGAAGGCGGUUCUCUGGGCCUUACCUGACACUGAGGAGCGAAAGCGUGGGGAGCGAACAGG